rnacentral:rRNA from 1 species
UACGGGGGGGGCAAGCGUUGCUCGGAAUUACUGGGCGUAAAGGGCUCGUAGGUGGCCAACUAAGUCGGACGUGAAAUCCCUCGGCUUAACCGGGGAACUGCGUCCGAUACUGGUUGGCUUGAGUUUGGGAGAGGGAUGCGGAAUUCCAGGUGUAGCGGUGAAAUGCGUAGAUAUCUGGAGGAACACCGGUGGCGAAGGCGGCAUCCUGGACCAAUACUGACGCUGAGGAGCGAAAGCCAGGGGAGCAAACGGG